AAAAGGCAGCAAGAGGGCAGCCAAGUCAAGUAGAGAGAACUCGGGAGAAAACAACCCUGCUGACACUUUGAAAUUAGACUUCUGGUCUCCUGAACUGUGAGAAAAUAAAUUUAUGUUGCUAAAUCAACCCACUCUGCAGUUCUUUGUUAUGACAGCUCUAGCAAAACUAAGAAGGGAAAAGCAACUAAUAGAUGAGAUUGGAGAAGUCAGCUUGAAGCCUGGACAUUAAUAAGCUCAUUCUCAUAAGAUCAUGUCAGAGGAAGAAGAAUGAAGAAGGAAAGGCAAGGCCAGUUAGCAAUUAAAGAUAUUCCCUGAACUAAGACAAUGAGCAUAGGUAUGGAAAAAGAAAGAGACAAAUCCAGAGAGAUAAGACAGAAAUAACAUAAUUUAGAGAUGGAUUUCAUGCGAGUAGCAGUGGUGUGGGAGAAGUAUAGAACUGAAGGAUAGUAUCCUUUUACAAACAAGAAAAGAGGUAAAGGAGGGAAAAUUUUUUGUUGUUAUGUUUUUGCUGGUGGAUAGUUAGAUGAUUUAAUCAGAGUUGUGGUGACAAAUACAAAUGAACAUAUAAAAUGCUCAAAACAAACAUUAAAUACCAAUGUAGGAAAACAAUAUAACAUGUGUCUUAAAGCUGUAUGCAAUUAGGUACAAAUGCUUGUUUAACAAACUAGGCUUAUAAACACGGAGAAAUGGGAUUCCCUAAACUGGAAGAUGAAAAAAGAAUUCCUGAAGGUUGGAGCUUGUUUUUUAAGAAUGUAAUAUUUGAGAAUGUGAGGCUGAAUGUACAGAGAGAGAAAAUGAGUAAAAUGAAACAAGAUUUGUGAGGUUGAAUGGAGAGAGAGAGAAAAAGAGUAAAAUGAAGCAAGAUUUGUGAGGUUGAAUGGAGAGACAGAGAGAGAAAGUGAGUAAAAUGAACCAAGAUAUUGUGGGAGUAUAUAAAAGAUAUUUGUACACAGGAAGCAAAACAGGUUAGGCAAACAGAUUAGUGGAAAAAUAUAGUUGGAAGUGGUUUCAAAACUAAAUUUGAAAGAGAUUGUAGAGUCUUGAAUUCUGACAUGCAUGUGGGGUUUUAAUUAUCUUGAUUAUAUUGGGGGUAGGAUACAGUUGUCAGUAAAUUUGUGACUUACGCAAUAUAGCUGUUUAUUUCUCUUGUAGGAAAGAAGUUUAGAGAUGAGCAGCUUAGAGGUUAUAUUUUGUCAUUCAAAGAUUGUCCUAUACUGUUGUUCUGCUACAUGUGGCUUCCAUUCCCAAGGUCAUUUUAUGAUCCAAGAAUUCAGCAGAAACACCAAUCAUCAAAAAGAAUAAGUUGAAAGAGAGUAAAAAGGCAACAUCAAGAAUGUCCCACACAAUACUUCUGCCAACAUAUCUUCACCCAGAUUUUAAUCAUCUGGCCACAGAACUGUAAGGCAGGCUGAGGAACUGUUCUCUGUUAGCUCUAUGGCAAUAUUCCCAGCUGAUAAGUGGAGAUCUCUUAUUGACAGCUAAAGAGAAAAUGAAUGUUCAAGAUAAAGGCUAUCCAUACUCUGCUAAUGGUUAUUUUUGGUUUAAAUUCCUCUUCUUGGAAGAUUUAUUUGUGUCUUAUUAUUGUCGUGUAGUUUCUCUGGAUACUAAAUAUUUUUACUUUUUGUGUCCUUUUAUUUCAAAUUAUAAACUGUUUUCUUCUCACUAAAACUUCAUAUUACCUAAAUAGUACCAAAUAUUAAUGUAUAGGAUAUUUUGGUUUUGCAUGCUUCUGGUUUUGCACACAUGUAAAUAUAAAAAUAUAUUUUAUAAUGUUUUCAUGCAUACAAUAUAAUUAAAUGAACAAUGUGACCUGAAGUCUAAAAUAAUGAAAUCUUCAUGUGACAAUACCGUGUAGUCAGUAUUAAUACAAAGUAGAACAAAAGUAAACUUUUUUCACCUUGAGAAUCUAUAGCUUCCAAAAUAUUUUAACCAAUAAAACAUUUUGUAAUUUCCUUUCACAUAUUCCUGCACUCAGACUUAUCUCUUAAUAAAAUAUAAUUCUG
rnacentral:lncRNA from 10 species